GGAGUCUAAAAGUCCACAUAACUUCAAAUCCCAUACAUUUUUCACCUAACCAAAGUAUCUCUCCCAUUUAAGUGGUACCAAAAAGCUAAAGAACAACACGACAAUUUAAGAACAGAAAUGAUCCAGAAAACAAUACACAGGAGACUAACUAGGGAGACAAGUGGAGCAAACACUAGACAAGAUAGAAAUCCGAGUAUUGGCGCUCUAGGGUAAUGCUGCCACUAUGUGCCUGACUUGGGAAAAUCCAUUCUCCUCUCUGGCCUAUAUCAAUUAACCGACAGGAACAACAAAACCUCUAAUGUGGGCCGGCAAUUUAGGUUGGGGUGACCUCGGAGAACAAAAACAACCUCCGAGUGAUUUAAAAUCUAGACUACCCAGUCGAAAGUAUUACAUCACUUGUUGAUCCAAAAAACCUUGAUCAACGGAACAAGUUACCCUAGGGAUAACAGCGCAAUCCUAUUUCAGAGUCCAUAUCGACAAUAGGGUUGACGACCUCGAUGUUGGAUCAGGACAUCCCGAUGGUGCAGCAGCUAGCGAAGGUUCGUUUGUUCGACGAUUAAAGUCCUGCGUGAUCUGAGUUCAGACCGGAGUCAUCCAGGUGGGUUUCUAUCU
rnacentral:ncRNA from 1 species